ACAAACAUGGCUACUAAAGUGUCAACAUUGGCAAGGGCUUGCCAGAAUCUGCAAAAGUCUGGAGUCCUAAGGCAAACGCCUAAUGUUUUAUUACUUCAAUCAAGAAAUGCAGCUGAACGCUCAGUAUCUGUACCAGGGUCCAUUCCAACUAGGCCAUUGAGAACGAAAUAUAGUCUCCCAUUGGUGCUUGGCUGCAUUACCUUUGGGAUUUAUGUUGGCCAGCAAGUAGCCAAACGUUUCGCAAUAUUCAUGGAAGAAACUGAGAUGUUUGUACCAGAUGAUGAUGACGAUUAAAUUAUUUAUAACAAGAAUCAGGCUGUGACAGAGGAACGCCGUUCUCAUUAGUGUAAAGGACUAGAUAGAAGGACAUUGAAAUAUCCAAUCUUCGCAUAUCAAACCUAUCCUGAAAACUUAUGAUUUGUUAUGCUACUUCACAUUACAUAGCAAAGAAUAGAAGGAUUUUGAUUUAAACUAAACAUGACUUGAACAAACAAUUUGAAAUCAUCUUACAAUGUUGCCAUGGCAGUGUGUAUUAAAGUUUGUGUAGCUAGGAGGGUGACAGUCAAAGACAAACACAAUCUUGUUUCUUUUGAUAUCCAUUUCUUACCACCAGUGUUAAAAUGUGUAUUUUGAAGUGAAGUGUCUAUUUGCACAACCUACUUUCAAGCGUUUCAUUCAAUAGUUUACAUUGCAAUACUUUUUGUACAGUUUUUACUUGUUUUGAUUAAGUAUUUUUAUGGCUCAAAUGUUCAGUUUACAUUAUUUAUCAUCAAUAUUUAUGGCUAAAUAUAAAAGAUCUGCAUAUUAUGAACGGUUUUCUUUAAUGUAAUAUUACAUGUAAGUGUAUUCUAAAAUGAAGUCAAGUGUAGUGAUCCGUCAGAUGUUUGCAUCUAGAUGAACGGUAAUCACUGACUCAGAUUAUUGUGUGAUACAAUGCGUACAUAUACAAUGCUCUUUAUUCUCAGAUGUUGUUUUUUGAAAAACUUAGCAUCUUUUUUAAUUGGUCAGUUUUUAAACUCCAAUAAAUUUGAAGAUGGUUAUAGGCAUCGACCUAUCUGUGAUUUAGGAAAAACACCUUGAACGUAGUAGCAAGGAUGGCAUGCAGUUUCUACAGCAAGUUUUCUGAAUUUUUGGUGUAUCUGUACCAAAUUUAUUAAGUAAUUACCCCUUCUGUACCAAAUAGGAUACUUGUUUACUUGAUGAAAAAUUAGCCCUGUAAUGUGAUAUAUUUUUUACAUUAUUAUACUAGAGGAUGCUCUGUCUAAGAAUGAUUUUGUCUUUCCAAACACUGGAGCAGUUUGCACAAAAGUAUAUCUAAGUUUAGUAUAUUCCUUAAUUGUCAGAUUACCUCCCAUUGAUUUGAAAAUAGAAGAAAAUUGAUCAUUUUACCAGUGAAUGGUUUUAUAUGGUUCUUUCCAUACUAUCUUUAGUUCAGUAUCGUUAUUAUCCCCCGCCUAUGAAAUAGGGAGGGGGAUAUUGAAAUGGCGUUGUCCGUCUGUCCUUCCGUCCGUCUGUCUUUCCUUCCGUCCGUCCUUCCUUCCGUCCGUCACCUGCAUUUUCUCAGUAACUAGCCGGUAUAAUUUCAUGAAACUUAAAAUAAAUAUGAACCACUAUACUGGAAUGAUGCCUGUCCAAAAAAAAAUUUGAUUGGUCAAUUGUCCUUGGAGUUAUUACCAGUCACCCUUGAUUUUUUGAAAAAUGCACAUUCACAGCCAUUUCUCAGUCACUAGCUGGCAGAAUUUCAUGAAACUUAAAAUAAAUAUGAAUUACUAUACUGGGAUGAUGCCUGUUCAUUUUUUUUUGGAUUGGUCAAUUGUAAUUUGAGUUAUUGCCCUUGAUUUUUUGAAAAACUCAUUUACAGCCAUUUCUCAGUAACUAGUUGGUAGAAAUUCUUGAAACUUGAAAUAAAUAUGAACCAACUUACUGCGAUGAUGCCUGUUAAUUUAUAUUUUGGAUUGUGUAAUUUCUGUAUGAGUUAUUUGCCCUUGAUUUAUUAAAAGAUCCAUGUUUGCAGCCUUUUCUAUGCAACUAGCUGGUAGAAUUUCAUGACACUUGGAAUAAAUAAGAACCAACAUACUGUGAUGAUGCCUGUCUAUUUAUCUUUUGGAUUGGUCAAUUUUCCUUAGAGUUAUUGCCCUUGAUUUAUUAAAAAAUCAUUGUUUGCAGCCGUUUCUCAGUAAAACCAAUGUGCUUAUCUUAUUCUUUCUGAGAUUUUUUUUAACCUUCAAGCACAAACAAGCCAUCAAGCACAAACAAGCCAUCGUUGGCGGGGGAUAUCUUUUCACUGAAAAUGCUUGUUAAACAUGAUUUGCUUUGCUUUAUGGGACAUGGUUUCGGAAAAAAGUGUUGUUUAUUAUGUUUAAAUAUUUGUUUCUGGAUAAAUUAAAGGUCAUUUGAAUCCGUAGACCAAAUCAUCAAUUUGGUGUGGCUUUAACUACCUUUUCAUUAAGACCUUCCCAUUGUAAUUGCAUUGCUUGAAGUGGGAAUUUGUUAAAAUUAAAAAGUUGAAAUGUUUAAAUAAGCCAUAAUUAUGAACACAUUUAUUUAAAAUUAUAAGACGUUGCUCUCUCACCUGUACCAUACUAAAUUACAGUUAAACAUGUUUUAUAUUUGAGAUCGCUUUUAUUGAAAUUAUUUUUAUUCAAAUUCUGGGCGACUUAGUUAAAAUGAAACUAAUUCUCUCCUGAUUUUAAAACACCCCAAUAUGAGACAUUUUCACUACAUUGUGUAUGUUGCACAUGGGGACCGAGCAUUCCUACAUAUAAUGAUUGUUUACCUAUUAAAAUUAUAAUUGCUUUUUUCAUAUUUAUUUCAUAUAAAAUGUUAGGUGACCAAUUAAGUAGGUUGUUCAGUGUAUUUUUUAUAGAUUUGUAUGUAGGUUUUGGUUGGGAAGCAUGCAAAGCAGGACAAUACUUAAAUGGAUCAGAUCAUCCAAACCAGGGAUUAUUUUCUAAUGGAAAUAUUUUGAAGACUUAACAUUAUAUUUUUGUACACUGAAAAAUAUUGGUAUGUUUUGUUUAAGCUCUAGGAAGAUAUAAAUACACUGCGGCGUAGUCAUAAAAUUAGUAGGCAUGUAUUGCAAAAGUGUUUUCGCUUUAAAAGGUGUUAGGCAUUGUUUUUCAGUUGUAGUGUGUUGUUGUCCAAGGUUUUGUUUUGUUUGUGGUCUCUUUUACCUAAUUUCAUUAUGAUAUCCUUACAAGUGUUUUAUAUUAUUUAUUACUCCAAGAAACUAUAAACUUUGUUAGUAAUUAAAAACUUAAAUAGC